rnacentral:sRNA from 1 species
UUGAUGACUUUGGGAGACUGAACUCCUCUCUUAAUCCCCAGACCAGGUACAGCUUGGAUAGUGGCAGUAAAAGCUCACCACAGAUAUCACUCUGUCUCUCAAUCUCUCACAUGACCAUAUGCCUUAACUCGGCCUACAAAAACCACCACCAGAAGGUAGGAUGGAUUCCAUGCCCAUUCAGGAUUUUUCCUCA